rnacentral:lncRNA from 1 species
AAAGGAGCCAAACCCUAGCUCAAGCUUAUUUGCUCAAAUUGAAAGGGGAAUUCAACCCAAAUCUAAUGCAUGUACCCGAAUUCUUAGUCAUCUAGCCCUAAAGAUCACUUGGAACCACACUAGCAUGGACCAAGCAUGGAAGGCUAACGGGUCAAGAUGAGGCAAGCAAGCGGGUAUGAACACGGAUGCACAAGGAAUGAGUACAUCGGAUUCUUAUGAAAUUUAAGCCCAACCCGGAAUAAGAGGAUGAGUGAUACACGGACUUCUUCUGCUACUUAGGAGGUGAAGCGGACGUAAAUCGAGUCAAGAGCAAGGAUUGCACGGAUAGAUCGACCAUAUAGUUGAAAUAUAUAACGUCUAGAAAUGUAAAUUUUAGUAUGAAUGUUGUGAAUUCUU